rnacentral:lncRNA from 1 species
UAGUUGAUAACUAAUUAGAUACCAAUUUUAGAAUUUAAAGUAAUUGAUAGCUAAUUAGAUACUAAUUUAAAAUCUAGUUUAUAAAUUUUUAUUAAUAAUAAAAACUACUUUAAAUAUUAAUAAUAUUUUAAUCUAUAAAAUAAUAUUUAAUUUAAUCAAUAUAUAAUUAAUUAUUUUUAAUUAUAAAAUUAUUUUAUUUAAUAAUUAUACUGUAUUGACCAUAUACAUGUAAAUCUAAAGUGAAUAAAUAGAAUAGUAACUACAAACUCUGCAUAUGAAGAUUUAUUAAUAUUAAAAUAAAAAGUGGAACUUUUAAUAUAUUCUUCAUUGUUUCCUCUAAAAGUCACUAUAAUAUAAUCAAGACAAUCUCUAACAUUACCAUCACUAUUGACAAAUAAAUUAACUUAUUAGUAAUUAGUUCGUCAAUUUAAUAACUAUAUAUAGAAGAGAGAAAAGUAAAAUUUCAUUUAAGAGUGGAGUUGAUUGUAGAAAUUAAAUUACGUAUAAAGUUAAGGGAGGGAUAUCUAUUAUUUUUUAAUAUGAAUUGUAAUUUUAACUUGAGAUCUUCCUGUCUAGUUAAGUAAUUAAUAAGUAGAAAGCUUUAUUAAAAAAUAUAUUGAAGUUGUAUUAGAAAUUUUAGAAAAGUGGAUCCAAGUAAAUAACUUUCACUUUUAAAUUUUUUUACUAGGUAUUUUUCUGUAAUUUAUAUAUUUAAUCUCUUGCAAACGUAACAACUAUGAUUGAAUUGAAGUUUGAAAAACAUUUUUCUGAAUUUUAUGAUUAUAUGGUAAUGUCACAUUCGAGGAUUACAUAAAAUAACGUAACGUGCAACAUGAAACACGAUUGUUCUAACACAACUUUCAUCCAUUCAAUUUAUUUCUUAUAUAAAUAAUUUUAAAAUUAAAAUUAAUAAAAUUUCAUGGUUACCUAACAUUUGUCUAGUUUGUCUGAAAAAAAAUGUCCAACAAUAAAUUAAACUGGGCAAAAUAUAAUCUGUCCAUUGAAAUUCUUAAAAUAUUAAAUACAGAUUUUUGUAUUAUUUUGUCACUCUAAACUUUUGAACUUUAAAGAUAUAUAUUUUAGGUGUUUCAAAAAUUUAUACAUAUUGAUCUUUAAUGGUAAUAACACUAGAUGGAAAAAAAUUGUACAGAUGAUGGUCUUAAUAGUGUUGAUUAUUAUAUUUAAUAAAAAAAGUGUGAUAAAGUUGUCAUGUAUAUAAGUUUAUUUUUGUCGUUAGUACUAAUGAAAUCUAAAAGGUAUGUUUAAAUUUCAAAGGAAUCAAAAUAAUAUAAUUUUUUAUAAAAGUAUUUAGUGUAAUUAAAUUUUAAUAUCUCGAUUAGAGAUUAAGAUAUUUCAUUUUAUAGUAUAUAAGCGGGUGUAACUUCAUAAGCUGAUUUGGUUUAAACUUAAAGUUCACUUUUUAAUAUGAUAUAAGAUCCAUUUAAAGUCGAACUUAACUAGAGAUUUUGUUAGUCUUACCAAACCAUCUACUAUCGGAUCGUUAUUGGAUCAUAUAUAAAUAUAUAGUCUCAUACACAAACAGUCACUCUCCGCGUGAGAAAAUGUGUUAGAAAAUUCACAUAGAUUAAGUGCAAACAUUACCUUAUAAGUCGAUUUAAGUGCAAAAAUUACCUUGUAAGUCGAUUUUAUGAGUUAGAUUUGAAAUUAUUUUUCAAUAUUCAUAUAAAUUAUUUUUUUAAGAAUUAAUAUUAAACAAGCAGUAAAAAAAUAAUUAUUAUAAAAAUAUUAAAAAUAACCAUUUAUCUAAAAAUAUAUAAACUAAAAACACUCUUUUCGCAAGAAUAAAUAUGACAGACAAUGCCAUUAUUAGAAUUUAGAACACACAUGAAGGGGUUGGAGAAUAAUUUAUUAACGUCUGGAGCAGCAGCACCUAGAAGCAUUAAAUAUUCAUAAUUAUUUGUAGUAACAACUAUUUUUAAUUUUAUUGUUCUUUGAUUAUUAUUCCACUACAACAGAAUUGAUAACCGAUAACAGUUUUAAAACUUACUUAGCAACUGUUAAAACUAUGGUCAUAAAACUACAUAGUGAAUUUGUAGGCUAUGAUGAGUUUAUAUGUCUAUUUGUUGGUUGCGGCUCAACCCAACAUGUAAAUUCGUUUUUGAGCUAAACUCGAUUUGGUGAACUUGAUAUUAAGCACGUAAAAUAAAAUAAAAUAAAAAGCACCAUACUAUUAAAAUCACAAAUGAUAAUAGAAUGUUAAAAAAAAAUGUUAACUCUUAGUAAUUAACAAAUAGGUUGAGAAUCAUGUUGCCCCAACAGGAAGAAAAUGUUCUGUAGGAAGUGUAAGAGAAAAAAAAAAAUAAUGUAACAUGAAUACUUUUUUUGUGUUGUUAAAUUUAAAUGAAAAUCACAGGAACUUAUAUGUAAUCGAGAACUAUGUUUAAUCAAUUAUCUUUUUUAAACCUAUUAUUUGAUUACUUAUUUUUAAAAUUUAUCUCAAUUUAUUACAAGAAAAAUAUUAUAAUAAGUUAUUUAUAAAUAUUUUCAUCCAUAUAAUUUUGCACUUUAUAUGCAUAUAAAUGAUUUCAAGUUAACUAUUAAUAAUAAAUUAGUUGUAUUAUAAAUAAAAAACAUUAUAGUAUAUUUAUUUUCAAUUUAAUUUUUAUAAAUAAUUUAAUUCUUAUGUUUUUAAAAUAAAAUAGCUUUUUUUUUCAAAAAAAAAGGUUCUUAUACUGAUAAUCAUUUAAAUUAAAAUCUGUUUCUUGUUUGAUUCUUUUGAAAAUAUCAGUCAUGCCAAUGUGAUAAUAUCCAAAUUUUAUAUAAUUUUUCAGUUAUAUGUUUUUUUCUAGUUAUAAUUGUUUUGUAAGUUUUUUUUAUUUAUUUCAGAAACUAAUAAAAUUUAUUUUAAAUAAUAAAGAUUCUCACAUGAUAAAUAAAAACUUCAAAUAAAAUCUAAGGUCAUUGUUUAACAAAAUUUACAACCAGAGCAAAUCACAUUUCUUAUAUAAGGAAUGAAGUUAGUGUAAACAUUUCCAAAAAUGCUUAUGACCAGUUAAACAAAUUUUAAUUAUUUUUAAGAAAAUGAUUCCGAUAUUCAUGUUUUCCAAGAGUCUACAUAUGAGGUAGUGACAGAAUUGUCAUUCUACUACAUAUAAGCUCAUAAUGGACCUACUCUUUACAAAGCAGAAUUGAACAACUGCACAACAAAAAUAAAUCUUUUCCACUGCAUAGCAACUGCAAAACAUAUCAAUUGCAGAAUAAAUCAUAAUCAACUGCAUAACAAAAUAAAUCUUUCCAUAAUAUUGAAAUUUACUGUAUUUUUCACCUACUACUUCAAAUCUAAAAUCAUCAUCUACUGAAAUAUUUCAAAACAAGCUCCUGGAUUGUAAAACAACACCCACUAGUAAUCCACUGCCAAGAGUAGAGCUUAAAAUAUUUCAACCAUUUUCCACUUCCCUCCGAAUGUUGAAAACAUUUGAGAAUUUUGGGCCAACCCUAUUGACCACCAAACAAUAGAAAACUAUAUAACAUGCCACCUGAUUCUAUUAUCUGAAUCACAAUUAAGAAAUCCCAAACUUCUAUUGCUCCAUCAACUCAAGCACUAAACUCACCUGGAGAAGAAUUCACAUUCAAAAUACAAGUGAACUAGAGUUUUGACUUCCUUAUAAGGUACCUCUAGACAUGACUUCAAUGGUUGGAGUAAUACCUCUAUAUGCUUGUUCUUAAGGGAGAAAUCAAUCUUGAGCUAGCUUCCAAAUACAAGAUUGAACCUUGAGUAAGUGUCAUAGAACCUUAUCCAGCCUAAAUUUCGAUAAUAGAACCUUAUAUGCGAUUUAACCAAGUAAGUGUGUCUAUGUAAUAAAUAAAUCAUUUUCAUGAAAGUUGAAACUUUAUAAAAUGAACUCAAAUUUAAACCAUUCAUUGACGCUGGCUUCAUAUAUUGGAGCUUAUUGCGGAAAAUCCUUAUUACUAUAUGACUUUAGAGGAGUUUUACAGUGUAAUUACAAGAUAGAAUACUGACAUAAAGUCUCCAUAAGAUUCAAGUUUUGAUAUGACCAUCCUAAAUCAUCCUCUGAAUGUUGUCAGUAAAAUUAACCAUAGUUUCAAGACUGUUAUCAUCUGCAACAAUGAAGCACCAAAUUAAAAUCACAGAUUUUCAGAGUUGAGACACAUUAUAUGCACAAAACUAAUAUUCAAAUGCGUCCUGGCACCAGUCAUAGUUAGUUACAAUGAAAGAUCUACAAUUUAAAGUAGGAGACACCACUAACCAAGUUUGGGGACUGUAUGCCCUCUGGGGUGAUGAAUCACAACAGGAUUCUGGAAUGCUCCCAACAAAGCAACGCUCUCUUCCUUCAUGAAAUCUUUCUCCCCUUCACCACAUAAUAAGAAUAGAAGAUACAAUACAACUUUCAAAGUUAAAUGUAAAGGAAAAUUUGCUUAAGCAGAAUCACAUAUGAGGGACUUGAAAUUACCAAUAAUGUGAAGAGAUAAGCAAUCAAUUGGUUUUGAAAAUGCAUUAGAAGCCAAUUUAGGCAUUCCAAACUUGUUUCCACCAAACUUGGCACCAGAUAUCACAAUCAAAAACUUGAUCUUGUCUACCUUCCCAAGUGCUACACCCUAUAAAAGUCAUCAUUCCCUUUAGUGAAAUCAAAUGCAGUUUUAACUAAUUUAGCCUACUUAGAGCAUCUCUAAUGCCGCUGUUUACAAAAGUUGCUUAAAAUGAAUAGCAUUGCUCAACAAAAAUUGACAUAUAAGAAACAUAAACUAUUUUUAUUUUAAAAAAAUGUACAUUUUCAAGUUAACAAUCAUCGUCAAGACAAAGAAACAAAGCUAUACACCCAUUUAAAAACUUUAGCAUUAGAGUUAAAACUCAAGUAUUCAUUCUUUGACAAUUUAAGAAAUAAAACCGUAUAAGCAAACCAUGCUUCAUGCUUCGUAGAUACUCAUUGAAAACUCAAAUAUUCAUUCAUUCUUUCACCAAAAGGGCAUCAUCAAGGAAGGAAAGAUGAACUUAAUAUAUAAAAGAGAAAGUGUAAACAGUAAUAAGAUGAGUUUCUUGUUCAGUACCUGCGCUUGCAUUCCUGGCAAUGCAGCCGCUAAAAUUGCUCCCUGAGAGACAACAUUCCUUAUGUGUCAAAAUUGUAUAAACAAAAGAUUACAAAAAGUUCACAAAUAACAUUGUAGCAGCAAAGUCCGCACCUGAGAGAAACCCAAUACACCAUCGAAAGGACCAUUUUUGAGCAUGUAAUCUUCUAUGUAUGCUAAACAGGCUUCGAAGUUUCUAUACUCAGAGAAGUCCUGUACAUGAAAAGAUAAACGUUAGCAGCAUACUAGGAUAAUGUCGGUGGUGGGGAUUACUAAGAUGGACAGUCUUGUCUCUACAACAACCUCAUUGGCUUGGAACCAUUCAUAGUAAGGAGGAUCGAAAAUGCCUUCAACGUCAGAUCUUCCCUGCGCGGGAAAUUGGCCAUCGAGGAACACGAGGUCCAAUUUUUGUAUCACUGGUUCUGGCCAUCUUAAGACUAGCUGCUUGAGGAUUUCGCCACUGGUUCUGAAUCCGUGGAGACACAGGAUUCUGGGUUUUCUCUGGGUUUGGUCUUCUUCCAUAAUGCUCAAACUUUGACAGCAGAUUAUUGCUCAGGGUGCUUUCAUGAAAUCAAAAUGAAAAUUAGUACCAAUUUCUUUAGAUUUGGGCAAAAUGUAAGGGCCGGCGCCGCCGAACCCAUCAUUUAAUAAAAUUGUAAAACAUUGUAAUUUUUAGAUUUCAUCUUAUAAAAUCAACUCAAUCUAAAUAAAUAAAUAUAUUUCAAAUUUAAAUUAUAUUAUUAUAAUUAAUUUUAAUUUGAAAUAUAAUAAUUUAAUAUAGAAAUUAUAAUGCAUAUAUAUGUUUAAAUAAAAUAACAUUAUUUUUAUAUUUUAAAUAAUUAUUAUUAUUUUAUAAAAAGAUUAUGUAUAAGGCUAUUUAUAGGCCGAACCUGUUUAAAUAUAUUACAAAAAUAAUUCAGUUUAAUUUAUAUUAUAAUUUUUUGUAAUUGAACCGUUUGAUUAUGUAGUUUUUUCAUGUGUUAGCUACAAGACACUAGUCUAUUUCAGCACAAAUAAAAAUAAUUUAUAUAUCACUCAAAGGAUAGUUCUCGUAAUUUAUUCUCAUGAAAGGUGUUUCCGUCUGUUGACUCGAACAAUAGUCUUUGUCCCUCCUAACUCCGUCUGAGAAUUGAACUUUCUUGAUCGAAGAAUCUCUCACCUGCAAAGACAAAGGGCGUCUUGACGGUCGUUUGCACUCCAACGCUCAAGUCAGUAUAAGGGCAAAGAAAGACCAAGUGUAUAAAGUAGUUUCAGUCUUAGAAAUUGUGUACCUUGCUAGGAUUCUUAGCACCCUUUAUAUAGGUUGAAACUAGGGUUUACCUUCGCUCAUUUACCCAUAUCUAGGGUUCCUUCGAGAAUGUCCCUACGCCGCUAUUACAUAAUCUUAGCGUAAUCUGAUACAUUGAACUUCCCUUAACUGGAGUGCAACGACUAACAGAAUGGUCAUCUGGGUACCAACUUGUGCACCUAAUCUCUGGGGCCAUCUAUUACGCGGGUGUCUUAAGUAUUCACGUGUCAUGCAUGCAGCUCCCUUCGGAAACCCUAACCCUAAUGGGCCUUAGCGCCUCCAAGGACUGUUUACUCGUGUCGCGCCUGAAUGCACUAUACACACCACCUGCAUGGAUCCCUCGUGACUUAGGUUUUCCUUAUAUCUGUCGUUUUAACUGAUAACUUAGUAUAAUUCUAGGGUCCACCUUACGUGGUCAUAUAUAACUGUUCUGACCGUCAACAUCCGAUCUCUUCCUAUUCUGGCAAGGUCUGAUAUCGAUCUCCAACUUCGAGGUCUAUGGUACUAGUGUCCGAACGCUGACCCACACCCUGAUAUGCGUAUCUGGGACCCACCUUGUGUGGCCCAUCUUUGCUAUCAGGCACCGAUGCGCGACGUCUGAGAUCAGUCUCUGAAGUCGAUGACCGAUGACUGGUCGAUACAAAAAGAAAAAUAAAUUAUUAACAUGUAGCAUGAUUAAUCCGGUUAUAAAAAAAAAUCCCAUAAAUUGUUACAUGCUAAUAUUUUUUUUAAAAAUUAUGAAAUUGUCAUGAAUGUUAUAUCCUCAUUUAUUUUUUAAAAAAAAUUCCUUACAUAGAAGUAGGCCAUUCAAUUCUAUAUAUAUAUUUGAAAUUUGUAGUAUAUGUUGGUUAUUAAUUCAGAUUUUAUUAUUAUUAAUUCUGAUUUUAUUACCCUUAAACUAUUUUACCGUUAUAUUGCAUUAAUGGUCAGUUUACAGGCCUGUUAGUAUUCUUAUUUUAUAGCUUCCAGUAAUUGUAAUUUUAUUAUAUAUAUAUAUAUAUAUAUAUAUAUAUUAUAUAUAGUNNNNNNNNNNNNNNNNNNNNNNNNNNNNNNNNNNNNNNNNNNNNNNNNNNNNNNNNNNNNNNNNNNNNNNNNNNNNNNNNNNNNNNNNNNNNNNNNNNNNUUACGUUCAAUAGUUGCUACAACCUUUUGCCUUCUCUUAUUUCCUUCAAUUAAUUCCUACAACUGGUAUCAGAGUCAGUCUGUUAUCAUAAACUCUACCCAAUUAUCAGUCCCUAUCCUUGAUGGAAAAAAUUACAAUCGGUGGUGUGUGCAGAUGAAAGUUUUGUUUGAUUAUCAUGAGUUAUGGGAUGUCGUUGAGAGUGGAGUGUUUGCAUUAGCUGCUAAUGCAACUGAGGCACAACGAGUAGCGCAUCGUGAUCAGAAGAAGAAGAAGGACAAUAAGACUUUGUAUCUCAUCCAUCAAGGGAUGAAUGACGAGACGUUUGAGCAGAUAGAAUGAGCAACAACUGCCAAUGAGGCUUGGACAAUUUUGUCAACCAAUUAUAAAGGUGAUGAUAAGAUCAAAAGGCUGCGUCUUCAAACCCUAAGACGCCAAUAUGAAUUGUUGCAGAUGGAAAUCACAGAGACUAUUUAUGUCUAUAUAAAUAAAGUUCUUGCCUUCACAAAUCAGAUGAAGACCAAUGGUGAAACACAUUCGGAGCAGGCAAAGGUGGAAAAGAUUUUGAGAUCUUUAACUCCCAGAUUUGAACAUGUUGUUGCCGCAAUUGAAGAGGCCAAUGACAUUUCAAAAAUGACAGUAAGGUUAUUGUUUGGUUCUCUACGAGCGCAUGAGCAGCGGAUGAAUGACAAUAAGAUUGAAAAACCAAUUGAACAGGCUUUAGAAGCACAAGCCUCAAUUGGUAGCUCCUAUAAUAAACAUGGUAGCUAUUUCAGCAAAGGUCGUGGUGGCUAGAAUCAUGGAGGCGCUUGGCGCGGGGAACGUGGUCGCGGAGGACGAGGAGACAUUUAUAAUAAAUCAAAUGUUGAGUGUUAUAAUUUCCAUAAACGUGACCAUUAUGCAAAUGAGUGCAGAUCAAAAGGUGAUAAUCAUGCUUCCAAUUGUGCUCAAGAAGAUAGUAAUCACGAACAAGAUGAAGAGGACCAUGAAGUAUUAAUGACAACCACAUCAAAUGAAACUCCAAACAACCAGACUUGGUAUUUGGAUACAGGUUGCACGAAUCAUAUGUGUGGUCAGAAGGAGCUGUUUGCAGAUUUGAAUGACUCAUUUCGCACAAAAGUGAAAUUCGGUGAUGGCAAGUUCAUUCCAGUGAUUGGAAAAGGGCAAAUUCUUAUUACAUUGAAGAAUGGUGAUCACAGGUACAACUAUGAUGUUUUCUAUGUACCUGACAUGAAAAGUAAUCUAUUGAGUGUGGGACAACUGGCCGAAAAGGGUUACGUGAUGCACAUAGUUGAAAAUAAAUCUCAAUUUUUUAUAAAAAAAAGGUAAUUUGAUUCUUAAAAUCUUUUUAUCAAAAAACUGCAUGUUUCCAGUAGAUAUUCAUAUGGGUGAUUUCAAGUGCCUGAAUGCAAUAGUGAAUAAUGAAUCGUGGUUAUGGCAUUUACGCUUUGGGCACUUAAAUUUUCAGAGUUUGAAAAAUCUUUCCAAAAGAAAUUUAGGCUUUGUUUGGAUUAGGGAGUGGAAAUGAGGGAGUGGAUUUGAGAUGAUUUGAAGAGAAACUGUAAAGAAAGUUAGGGUGUUUGGAUUAAGGUAAAGAGAGGGGAAAGUGUAGGGAAAGUUUAUAAAAGUUUGUGAGUGAUGUGAUGGAUGUGAUUGAAAUUGUAUUUUUUUUAAUUGAUAAAAAUGUAACUUUACACAUUUGCCCUUAUAUUUAAAAAAUGAUAAAAAAAAUUAUUUUGAUUGAUUAUUUGUGAAUUACAUUUUUUUUAAAUUAAAAUUAUUUUUUCGACAAUUGAAACAUUAUUUUUGAUACCGUGUUCGAGCUAACUUCGGAAAAUUAUAAAUUAUAUAAAUUUUUUGGAUCAUAUUUAUGAUUGAUAAACAUUAUUGAGAACAAAGUUGUAAUUGUGAAUUAUUUAUUUUUCAAUUAUAGUUGUAUGCAAUUAAAAGAUUAUUUUCGGUAUGGAACAAAUUAUUUCUCAUAAUGUGUUGGAUGUAUAAUUCGAUAAAGGAUUUUUUUUUUAAGAAAUAAAUAUUAAUGUGUAUUAAUGCAGUAUUUUAGUUUAUUAAAGCAAAAUUCAUUGAUAAAUUUUGUGCAUAAUAAUAAUGAUUCAGAAAAUCAUAUGAAUGAUACAAUGAAAUAUGUUUCAUUCAAAAUAGUCAUGGAAGUCCUUAAUUUGUUUAGGGAUUCGUGUCAUUAAUAAGAUUACAGAUUCGAAAAGAAAAACACAUAUGCAUAAUAAAGUACAACCAAAUUUUUACGUAGUUUAGGGAUUUGUAGUCAUUAUCUUGACCAGCUUUCUCAUUCUUCGCUCAAGAGGCAGGCCAAAGAGUUGUUUUACCGCAUUAGGAUGACCACACAAGAAGUCGUAACAAUUAUCUAACAAAUCUCCAUCUUGUAUGUUCAUCUCCACUAACAUUUCCCAGAUGUCAUAUUCAGAGUACUGGAAAGUCGAUGUACGAGGAAGUGUGCGCGUGUGUUCACGAAAUAUGGAGUUUCGUUCUUCUUCUGCAACAACAUGGCGUCUGUUAUAUUGCAGAUUUUCUUCCGUAGCAUUAGCCACUCGCUGUGAUGACAAAGCGACAACCUUAGAUGAAAUGGCUUGUCGCUCAGCAAUAUGACAUAACCUAUCUGACUGAUCAGUACCCCUCCCAAGGAUAUCAGUUAAUCCUUCAAACCUUGUGUUAAGCCUUUCCAGUUGCAGAUCAAUGACGUCCACCAUAGGGGCUUUUCUUUUUGAGCCUCUAGAAGAAGAAGUACCACCUGAUGGCUGGGAUGACUGAGGUGGCACCAAUGGGGGUGUCAAAUUAGGGUCAGGGCUGUAUGAAUCAACAUUAGGAUCAGCUGAGCGAGGAGUUUCACAUUGAGUAGCAUCCAAUCCUGGCUCCUCUAGGAUGUCCUCCAUAUUGUGAUCAUUAAGAUCUACAUUAAAAUGAUGAGACUGAGUUCGAUUUGAGGACUGCAAUGUUGUUCUUCCACCGUGGCCAGUAGCACGAUCAAGCCCCCAAAGUCUUCCAUCAACUUGUAGUGCCUGAUGGGAUUAACACGCCAUUUUGCGGUCGAGGGCUUUGCCUGUUCAUUAAUGAAAAGAAAUACACUCAUAAUCAUAAUUAGUGGUUAAUGUAUGCGAUAAGUGAACAUCAAGUUGAAUAUGUUACCUUUAUCAACGAAUCUCACACUUCAUCCUCGGCCUCGAAAAUUUUCGUGCUUGGAUUCCAAGCAAAACCACUCAGUCCACUAAAUAGAUCAUGGAUCUCACGCCAUUUGUCCUUAAGGCUUUUCUGCCUGUUCUUCACAUUAUUUUUUGUAAUCCCUACCAAUCCAGUCUGAUGUAAGGAUUUAACAAUGUUUGUGUAACCCUGCGUCGUCCAACUACCAUCAAUGCGGUUACCCAUAGAUGCCUCAUCGAUCAUGGCAUUCAGCAAUCGGAAAUCCAUGUCGGUAGUCCAUUUUUUGUGUUCACGGACAACUGCAGAUGACUCUGAAGCAAUACCCUUCCCGUGAUCCAUGAUAAAACCUAAUAAAAAAGGUUAAAACUUUAGUACAAUAACNNNNNNNNNNNNNNNNNNNNNNNNNNNNNNNNNNNNNNNNNNNNNNNNNNNNNNNNNNNNNNNNNNNNNNNNNNNNNNNNNNNNNNNNNNNNNNNNNNNNUCAUACGUAAAUAUUAAUAAAGGUGGAAUGUCAACAUUAAACCAUGAAAUUGUUCUUACAACAAUAUAAAUAUAAGUUCACGGAUGUUACAUAAAAUUAAUUAUUACAAUAACCUUUCCACAUUUCAUUCGCUAUAGUAUCCCUAAUUUGUGACCCGAGCCUGUAGUCAUCCUCACGAGUUUGCGAGUGUGACACAUCUAUAUCUCCUUGCAUCAACUCACGGUCAACUUCUUCCAACAAAGAGUCAUCAUUAUCCACCCCGCGAAGAAAGUUAUGAAGAAUACAACAUGCUAAAACAAUAUCGGUCAUAGUGUCCACAGAGUAAUGAGGCUCUGUUCCGCUAAUGAUAAUUGGAAAUCGCUUUUUGAGGACACCAAAUGUUCUUUCGAUAACAUUUCUUAGUGAGGAAUGACGAUGAUUAAAUAACUCACGGGCAUUUUGUGGACCUCUUCGGGAAUACUCUUUUAGAUGGUAUCGAACUCCGCGAUAUGGAGUUAUAACUUGGGUUUUGAGCAUAAAACCCGCAUCUCCAAGGUAGUAUUUGCCUACAACCAUCCAUUAAUAAUUGUUACUUAUAAGUGAAUUUCAUGUCAAAAUCANNNNNNNNNNNNNNNNNNNNNNNNNNNNNNNNNNNNNNNNNNNNNNNNNNNNNNNNNNNNNNNNNNNNNNNNNNNNNNNNNNNNNNNNNNNNNNNNNNNNNNNNNNNNNNNNNNNNNNNNNNNNNNNNNNNNNNNNNNNNNNNNNNNNNNNNNNNNNNNNNNNNNNNNNNNNNNNNNNNNNNNNNNNNNNNNNNNNNNNNNNNNNNNNNNNNNNNNNNNUCGAUUGUUGUUUAAGAUAUGAGGUUCAACCUCAGUCCCAGCUGGUUGAAUUAAGAACUCUCCAUGCAUCAUCAAUAUUGCUUUCAAAACAUUAUGAAAGUGACGAGACACUGUUUCCCCGGACCGAUGAAAGAAGAACGAAACACUUCGAUUCUUGACGUUAUAACCAAUGAUGUGUAAAAAUUUAGCCACUUGUUCUUCAACUAUAGAUCGAAAUGCAUCUUUAACCAUAUCCGUUCCUCUUAUUCGUUGACAUAAAUUAAUAAAUGCUUCCGGACUCAUGCGAAUAAUGUCACGACAUCUUUCAGUAUGGACCAAGUACGACAUCAAUUCUUGUCGACGACGCUCUUUUUGUGGAAUAAACUCCGGUAUAGGAUUAUUUGUCUCGGUUAACACACGCAAUACGUUCAAUCCAUAUCCAAUCAUGCAAAGAAUUGUCAUUGCUGCUACUUAUGUCCGCAAAUUGAUUUGCUCUUGUAUUUGUGAAACUAGUGUGAAAUCAACACCAACUACAUCGGGAUUCAUGUCAUUCGUGCUAGACAUCUCGACAUUUUUGAAAUACAUAGACCAAUGGUUAUCGUUAUCCAUGGUCACAAAUCCUUGACAAUCAUAUAAGUUUAACUAUUAGGUCUAAAGAACCACCUUUUAGAGAAAUAAUAAUACUCAAUUUUUUUUACUUUUAAAAAAAAUUAAAAUAUUAUAUAUAAACUCUGUAAAGUGUUAUAAUUAUAGUUGUAUUACAAAUUCAAAAUAAUAUUUAUAAAUUUUUUUUUACUUGAUUUUAGGAAAAAAUAAAUAUUAUAUAUAAACUCUGUAAAGUGGUAUAGUUAUAGUUGUAUUAUAAAUUCAGAAUAAUAUUUAUAAAAUUCUUUUACUUGAUUUUAGAAAAAAUAAAAUCUUAUAUGUAGACUAUCUAUAAAGUAAUAUUUUAAAAUAUUUAAAUACUUUGUAUACUUAUAAUUAUUUUAUAAAUUCAGAAUAAUAUUUAUAAAAUUCUUUUACUUGAUUUUAGAAAAAAUAAAAUCUUAUAUGUAGACUAUCUAUAAAGUAAUAUUUUAAAAUAUUUAAAUACUUUAUAUACUUAUAAUUAUUUUAUAAAUUCAAAAUAAAAUUUAUAAAGUCUUUUAGCUGAUUUUGGAAAAAAAUAAAUAUUAUAUGUAAACUAUCUAUAAAGUAGUAUUUUAAAAUAUUUUGUAUACUUAUAAUUAUUUUAAAGCCUGUUCAAAAUAAUAUUUAUAAAGCUUUUUACCUGAUUUUAGGAAAAUUUAAAUAUUUAAAUAUUUUGUAUACUUAUAAUUAUUUUAUAAAUUUAAACUGAUAUUUAUAAAGUUUUUUACUUUAUUUUUAGAAAAAAAUAAAUAUCAGAAACAAUUUAAAUAUUAAUAAGUUUGUUUUAACUAUCAGAAAACUCAUUCAAACUUUCAUUAAUGCUCAUUAAUUCUCAUCAAUAUACUCAUCAAUGUGAUUAAGAAAAAACUUUGAAAACUCAAAAAGGCAGCAGCAUUCUAUUAAUUCUAUUAACAUAAAUAAAAUAAAUUACAAAUUCCUUCCCUCCACAUUUCAUUCUCAUAUUUUAUUCUCCAAAUUCCAAAUCUAUGUAUGAAACUUACCUCCAGAAACCUAGAGAAAACGAUGCCACCGCGAACCACCAACGACCACCGAGCACCACCAGCGGAACCACCACCCACCACCAGCAACGAAACCGUCCACGUCCAACGACCACCAACAACGCCGCCUACGGAACCCCACCCACACCUUGCACCUCCGACAACCGCACACCUCCAACACUUACGAACCUCCGACAACCGCUCACUUCCAACGGUUGUGAACCUCCGACAACCGCGCAUAUCCACCGCGUACCUCCGACGAGCACCUCCGACAACCGCGCACAUCCACUGUGUACCUCCGACGAGCACCUCCGACCGCUUCUAAGGGUACUCCCUCAACUCAAAACAAAUAACCCACCUCCACUCCUCUUCCAUAUUUAUCAUCUCUCUCAUUUAUUCAUCACCCACACACUUGAAUUUAUCCACCAAACAAUGUACGAAUCCCUGUUUGUGCUGUGUUUGUGUUGUGUUUAUGCAAGGAAUCUCAUGCGUGAGAAUGGAGAGAAUAUUGGAGUUGCAUGGCACGGGCAUAGGCAGCUAUGGCACAUAGGUUAGGUGAACGGAUGGGUAAUAUGGUAAAAUGAGAAAGUUUCUCUCCAAAUCUUCUCAUCUCAUCAGGGAAGCCUUUUUCCCUUUCUUUGCUUUUCUUCGCCCCCUAAUCCCCGCUAACUCCCAGAUACAAACAUCAGAUUUAUUUCCUUUUCAAUCCGGGUGAACAGUAAUCACCCGGAUACAAACACAGCAUUAGUGAAUGGUUUACCCCAUAUUCAUCACCCUGAUCAAUUGUGUGAGGCUUGCUUUUUGGAAAGAAUCAUAGGAUACCAUUUGUUAAGGAGCCUUGGCGUGCAAAAUUUCCUUUGGAGCUUGUUCAUACUGAUGUUUGUGGCCCGAUGAACAUAUCAUCAGUUGGAGGUAAUAAGUAUUUUUUAACCUUUAUUGAUGAUUUUUCAAGGAAAACCUGGAUUUUAUGUAUUGAAAAGCAAGGAUGAGGUAUUCCACUGCUUUAAAAUAUUAUAUUUAAAGCAUUUGUUGAAAGACAUAGUGGCAGACAAAUUAAGAUGGUGUGUAAUGAUGGAGGGGGUGAGUACAAGUCUAAUGAGUUCAAGAGGCAUUGUGAGGAACUUGGGUUGCAGCAUAACAUAACCUGUCCCUACACACCUCAACACAACGAAGUUGUUGAGAGAAAAAAUAGAACAAUCAUGGACACGGCGAGGAGCAUGCUUAAAGCAAAAGGUAUGCCAAAUUAUUUUUGGACUGAGGCCGUAACAUGUGCGGUAUAUUUGAUAAACAGAUCACCCACUCGGAGUGUUCCUAACACAACUCUGAUUGAGGCAUGAAGUGGAUUCAAACCCAAUGUGCAGCACUUGAAGGUAUUUGGGUCAAUUACUUAUGCUCAUGUUCCCAAGGCAGCAAGAUCGAAGUUGGAUGAUAAGGCAGAGAAGACCAUUUUCAUUGGAUAUAAGCAUGGGGAUACAAAUUGUACAAUCCAAUGACAAAGAAGGUGAUUGUUAGUCGUGAUGUUACAUUUGCCGAAGAUGAGGAAUGACAAUGGAAUGCAACAGUUGAAAUUGAUUCAAAAAAACGAUAUAUUUACGUUUUGAACGAUGAUGUGGAAGAUGGAGUCACUCUUAAAGCACCUACAGUUCAACCUGAAGCUGUAAUUCAACCUGAAAAUGCAACUCCAAUUGCAACUAUGAUGGAGCGACCAAGAAGGCAACAACGACAACCUGUACACCUUCAAGACUACGAAGUAAAUCUUGACGAUGAAGUUGAUGACAAUGGAGAUUUAGUUCACUUUGCUUUUGUUGCAGACUCAGAACCUGUGAGACUUGCCGAUGCCAUUCAACACCCCAAAUAGCAAAAGCCUAUGAAUGAAGAAUUGAUGGCGAUUGAGAAAAACAAUAUCAUGACUCAAAUUGGGAAGGAUGUUCCAAAUCAUAAUUAAGGGAGGAUGUUGGUUAUUAAUUCUGAUUUUAUUAUUAUUAAUUCUGAUUUUAUUACCUUAAACUAUUUUACCGUUAUAUUGCAUUAAUGGUCAGUUUAAUGGCAUGUUAGUAUUCCUAUUUUAUAUAGGUUCCAGUAAUUGUAAUUUUAUUAUAUAAAUGAUUGAGUAAAUUAAAAUGAAUAGAAUCAAUUUUACAAUUUCGUGCAAUUACGUUCAAUCAACAUCUAAUUUAAAAAACCAUUUUUGCAUAGGACGGAAAAUAGUUCGCGUCCUAUAAGCAAAGCUAAAUUUUAUUCUCACUAGUUUUAAACACUACAAAAAAAAACUUUUAUUAGAAAGGGCCAAAGGCGGACACUAAUCACAAAAAGCCCACGCAAAGAUGCAAUUAACGUGGGCUUUGCCUUCACACAACUUUGAAGCUAAUAUCCUUGUCGCAAAAAAACUGUCGGGUGCGUGGCGUCGCAAAAUGUUGGCUUGCGUGGGCUUUGCCUACAAGUUGCCAACACAAAAAAUUACAAAUGUUAACUUAAGCGGGGGCUUAGCCUUGGACAGAAAAUGAGGGCUUAGGCUUAGCUAGGGGGACAAUAAAAUUAGCGUGGGCUUAGCCUUGGAUAAGGGGACAAUAAAAGUAAAAAUAAAGCGUGGGCUUAGCCUUGGAUAGUGGGACAAUAAAAUUAGAAUAAAGCGAGGGCUUGACCUUGGUAAAGUGACAAUGAAAUUAGAAUGGGCUUAACCUUGGAUAUGUGGACACCUUUUUUUUUGUAUGCACUAUUUUUGGCAGCUAUUGAACUCCACUUUUAAAUAAAAGUUUGGAUUUUAAAUAUUAAAUAUUAAUAUUUUUUAAUUUGCUUUUUUUUUUGCAAUAGCAUUAAAAAGAAAAAAACAUCAAUGAAUUGAUAAGUUAAAAACUAAAAAACAAAAGUAAUGAAUAAAUUAUUAUAUUGAUGAAUAAAAAGUGUUUAAGCACCGGAAGAUGGACAUUAAUUAGUUAGCUUGGUUAUCUUAGUGAUUUCAUUAUUCUUCUUCUUAGGUUUAAGCUUUGUUGAAAUGCCUUCCAUUUGCGCUGCUUACUAGUUAUGUUUUAUCAAAACAUAUGCAAUGAAAAAACUAUCAUUUUAAUACAUUUAAGAAACAUUGUUCUAUAAUAAAUAUUUUUAUUAUAGAAAGUUAUGCACCCAACAGCUGGUUCUCUAGCUUAAGUUAUGCUUAAGUUAGUAAUUUAGCUGGAUGACCACAGUUGUGAAUGAGUAGUUUGAUAGGCUGGUUCUCUAGCUUCCAUGAUCAUCUUUUCUGGAUUCUAUGAAUAUAUUGUUUAUCAAGUUUCUCUGGACACAUAACAUAGUAUCUAAAAUUGGGGAUCGUACAACAACAACAAAGGUUUAAGGAUAGCUACAUACACAAACAUUUAAAUCAUAUGGUAUAACAUCUUGGCUCUUAUAUGUUAAAGAGAUGAUUAUAUUCAAAAUUGUAUAUUGAUCACACAGAAUCCUCUAUGGAGUUACUAAUUAAAUUGCAGAUGUCACUGCAUAUACCCUAAAAGAGNNNNNNNNNNNNNNNNNNNNNNNNNNNNNNNNNNNNNNNNNNNNNNNNNNNNNNNNNNNNNNNNNNNNNNNNNNNNNNNNNNNNNNNNNNNNNNNNNNNNNNNNNNNNNNNNNNNNNNNNNNNNNNNNNNNNNNNNNNNNNNNNNNNNNNNNNNNNNNNNNNNNNNNNNNNNNNNNNNNNNNNNNNNNNNNNNNNNNNNNNNNNNNNNNNNNNNNNNNNNNNNNNNNNNNNNNNNNNNNNNNNNNNNNNNNNNNNNNNNNNNNNNNNNNNNNNNNNNNNNNNNNNNNNNNNNNNNNNNNNNNNNNNNNNNNNNNACUCUUGAACAACAAAACAGAUCCAUGCAUAAUCCAAAUAUAAAACAAUACCAUUUCUAAUUUUUGGAUUGAUUUCCAUAGUGAAUCUAAUUACACCAAAAUGAAGAAGUUUGUGAUUGAACAUUGAAAGGCAAUGACACUUGCCAAAUGUUUUAAGCAAAGAUAGAUGUCACAACCCAGUGUGUCUGUCUUCCCAGAGGAUGAAAAGAGAACAUAUAUAUCUACGUACCUCACAAAAUUGCAAUAUUUUCCCAAAACAGAAAAAUGAGAGAUACUGCAUGAACACACUGCCAAUAAGAUACUUACCCAAAAUUGCAAUCCUUUUUUCCUUGCUUAUAUCACGAACUUUUACUGCAUGAACACACUCACUCAUCACAACACUACCAAGAAGAUAAAAACAUGCACAUCACAACACUACCAAGAAGAUAAAAACAUGCUCAUCACAACACUGCCAAGAAGAUAAAAACAUGCAAAGAGUCAUGCAUGCAAUGUGAGUAAUACAUAAAUGACUCAACCUCUCCAUGUCUUUCUAUUGCAUUGCAUAAAUUCUUGUCAAGGAAACUACAAACCAAACUUAAGAAAUGUUUUAAGAAAACUAACAAAAUGAUGAACUCAAGGCAGGGGUUGAUCCAAAAUUUGCUACACCAAAACAAAUCCAAAAUUAAUUCACUACUAGAAAACUAAAGAUCAAUAAUUCUCUCCUUAAUUUCAAUUACACCAUGUAAAAGGGUCAAAUUUCACUAUGAAUCCAGGACUGGUAAAAGCUAAGAGAAGCCUAAAUUACUUAGAAAUGGACAACUUAAAAAAGAGAGUAAAAAUUGCGAAAAAAAAUGCAUAAGGGGCAAUAGAGAAAGAAGCAAGAGUUCACUGACAAGUGGCAUGGCUGAACAGGGCAAGAAACAUAAACUUUUAAUGGCCAUGAUAUAUUUUCUUUAUCUUUUUUUCACAAUUAAUUCAGUACUUCAUAUUAAGUAGUUAAAAAUUCUGCCAGACAAAUCCUCCCCAAAUUACACGACCUCUAAACCCACAAGAACUGCCAGACUGCCAGUCAAACUACAAGGUUAGCAAUGAAUCCAACCAAAACUUAGAAUCCAAACAAGAAGUUUAGUCAGUCACAAAUAAAGACUCAAGAAUGGUAAGGGUAACAAAACCUAAAGCUUCACAAAUCCCCUGGGAUGUGUUUCCACAUCUUACCUCACAUAUCAGUCUGGAAAAAUAUGCUCUAUCUACAAUGUUUCAAAUAAAGGGGAGACAUCUUCCCUGAGCAUUUUAUUAUUACUAACCUAUGAUUUGCUAAAAAGAAUCAAACAAAAACAAUAUUCAAAUUUAUGUUUUUUAAUCCCUGCUGAAAAAGAACUAACACAAAGUUACAUAUGAUAGAUUUUUGUCAUCAAAUAAAUAACUACAUCCAAACUCAAGUAAGCAUCUCCUUCCAGUAUUUAGAUCUCCUACCUCACAUCCGUGGCUUGUUUUUCGUGUACACUAGCAGAUUUUAAUCCUUAACCGGUUUUACAUGCUAAAAAGAAAUGAACACAAACGAAUCAACACCUAGACAUAAAAAAUUUAAGAACUAUAUUUAAAUUCAAAUAGAUAUUGGUAAUAAAGACCAAGAAUUUAAGAAAGCAUAAGAUGAAUUGAAGGAAUAAAAAAACCAGAGAAAUUCAAAUAGUCAGUCCCAGUUAAAGACAAAAAUAUGUGUGGAUGCAAAGAAGAUCGAUAAUCAUGCAACACAAAUUAGGCAAGAACAUUGUUCCUUUGCACGAACCAAGUUCAAGUUCAAAAUUCAUUUGUCAAUGAAAGAAACUAAUAAAGUAUAUCUGACAGACACAUCAUAUAUUACAAACUUCAAUAAUCAACAAGAACUAUAUUCAAAUUUAUAUUUUUUAAUCCUCAACUGGAAUCAUGUUGAAAACGAACUAACGCAAGCACAUAAACGGUUACAUAUGAUAGAUCUAACAUAAAAUAAAUAACUACAUCCAAACUCAAGUAGACAUUUGUCAUGAAAGAAAGACAAAAAAUGUAGGAUAACAAAACCUAACGCAUCAAGGAUCUCCAUCCAGUAUUUAGAUAUCCUACCACACAAAGAAAUCAACACCUACACAUACAAAUUUUAAGAACAAUAUUUAAAUUCAAAUAGAUAUCAAUAAUAAAAACCAAGAAUUUAAAAAAGGAUAAGAUAAAUUAAUGAAUUCAAAAACCGGUGGAGCCUUAGUUGCUCAAAACACGCACGAUGAGGUAGAAGAUUCAACCCUUAGGCCUUAUAUAACAUACUCCAUGAUAUGGUGCAGGGCAUUAAGUGAAAAUAAUUCAAACAUCGAACACAAUUCAAUCCUUGGAGAUCAAGUAGAGAGAAAUUAAACAAUAGAGAGGAAACUCAUCAAGAAAUUAGGAUAUCCUGAGCUGCAGUCGUUUUAAACUCUUUUAGAGUUUAGGGUUUCAAAUAUCAAGUAGAAAAAAUUCAAUCAUCGAACACCAUUUAAUCCUUGGAGAUCAAGUAGAGAGAAAUUAGGGAAACAAAACAUAAUACUUCACAUCAUGUCCUACACUACACCACACAUCCAUUGCGUGCUUUCCCUGUACAGCCCAAAAAUUCAAGAAACGAAUUAGCUGUACAGCCAAAAAUUCAUGAAAACGAAAUAACCUCUUAAUAAAAAGAAGUAUAGAAAAAUGAUAAAAAUGAAGAUGCAGAUGCAGAUAAAGACUAAAAAAGACUUGGACAGUUACACAACCAAACACCACUGCAGACAAACACCAAUAAACAAAUCAUAAUCCAAUCCUUAUUUUCGGUGAUCAAUACCAGAUAAAUUAAAUAAUAGAAAGGAGACUAAAACAAGACUUGGAUCAAUUGGCCUUUCUAAACUAUUAUGUUUUUCAUUUCAUCGAUAGACAAAACAAAUCUCAAAACCAAGUCACCAGCAGAAAAGGGAUAAAGGAAUUUGAUCAAAAGAUUCAAAACUUGCCAUCAUCACAAAGAAUCACAUUCGGCGUAAAUGAAUCACAAUCCAAUAAAAGCACAUUAAUCACUUACAAAUAAUUUUUCUAUCCCACGACGCAAACAUCAUGUAAUUCUACAAAACCUUAUAGAGAAUCACAACAAUAACCGAAGCAAUACUAACAAAACUGAUCUUGGAUAUAUAUGUAAUACUAACCAAUGACUAAAUCUAAUAACCCAGCAACCAGAAACUAAAUCUAAUAACCCAGCAACCAGAAACACAGUGUUAGGGUACAAUCGAGAUGGAUUGAAAACGAAAGGAAAUGCAAAACUUACGAUGUUAGGGCACAAUCAAGAACACGGUCGUACUCCGGUCGCAAUGCUUGAAUGCUCAACAGAGAGAGUACUUCGGUCGCAAUGCUUGAAUGCUCAACAGAGAGAGUACUCCGGUCGCAAUGUGAGAAUGUUGUUGAUGCUGAGGAAAAGUGGAGUGAAGUGAGUAUUGCAUGGAGAGAAUUGCUUCAGAAUUGAAAAAUGAAAGAAGAAAAAGAAAAGAAGGGAUUAAAGUAAAGCAAAAAUAAAAAUUAAUUAUUUGUGUGUAAUUUGCAUGGGCUUAACCUUCUUAUUAUUUAAAUUUAAUUUUAAAACUUUUAACGUGGGCUUAACCUUCAAAUAUUUAAAUUUUAAUUAUUUUUAUAAUUUUAGUAGCUGCCAUUUCAACAACGCAACCAUUAUUAUUAUUUUUUUUUUGAAGUUUACGUGAGAAUAACACACGCUUUCCUCACACCUUAUUUAAUUUAUUUUAGGUUUAAUGGAUACUAUAUAGUGUCCACUUAUGGCCUUCAAUAUUUGUUUGCAGCUAAAUUAAGAUUUCUUUGUAAUGAAAUAACUUUUUUUUUACCACCAAAAGGAAUUUAGAAAAAACGAGAAAUUGAACAAUAAGAUGAACGAUGUGAUAAAGACCAAAUAAAAAUAUAUUAAGAAUAAAAUCAUUUUAGUGUUACUUAUAAAAGAAUAGUACACAUCAGAUUUCUCUGGUUACUGAUAAUAGAAUUUAUAUAAUAAAUAAAUUAUUCAUACGAGAUUACAUAAAACUAACUCAAAUUUAACCAUAGAUUGAUGACAGCUUCAUAUAUUGGAGUUUUUUUACGUGAAUUUUUUAUUAUUAUUAAGACUCUUAGGACCAAUCAAACAAUAGAACACAGUUUGAAGAGUCUUAUCAUGUACGCAACGAAGUACCAAAUAAAAUUUUGAGAUGUGUUACAACUAUACCUGGUAAAAGUGGGAUAGUCCAACCUCAUUAAACUCUUCAAGAAAAAAAUGUGAUCAUAUAGACUACUCCAUAAUUUCAACAAACACCAAUUUUCAGGUUUAGUUCCAUUCUAUAUUAUAACAUUUCAUUUUCACUUAGAAAAAAUAAAUUCACCUCCACACUUACAACUUUAUCUACUUAAACCAAUUUAAUCCAACUACGUGUUAAGAAUAUAAGUAUAAAUUUGAGUCUCAUUUAAUAAAUAUAAGAAGUUGAAUAACAAAUAACUAUGAAUAAAUAUAAAAAGUUGAAUAACAAAUAACUAAUCUUAAGUUUAGCACAAAACACAAUUAGUUCAACUAAAAACUUACAAAAAAUAUUGGAAGCAUCAAUGGAGCUUAUUGCAAUAAAAAAAAAUCUAAACAAAACAUUGUUUUGUUAAAAUGUGCAUCUAUUAGUUAAUAAGUUUAUUAUAAAACUUGUAUUGAUUUUCAUUUUCACUCAAAUUAUUUUAUUUUUUUAUAUCUUUAAUCAUGUAACGACAUGUUAUAUUCUUUUGUAGGAUAUCAUAUGAACCCGAGGGAUAAUUAAGACAAAGGUUUGGAUUUCUAAAAAUAAUAUUAAUAAUGCAAAUAAUAUUAAUAAUCUAAAUAAUAUUUAUAAAAAAAUUAUACUAGACAUUACAAACAUCUCACUUAUAUUGACAUUUCAAAUUUCAACCACCUCUAUUGAAAAAAAAAAUUAUUAAACAAGUAAAAAAAAAUACAAACAAGUACGAGAAAUUAAAACAAAAUCCAUACUAACCAUAAAAUACAUCAAAACUAAACAAGAGAAACAUAGUUAAUUUAUACCUAUUAUGGAAAAUGUUCAAGAAUAUAUUAAAAUAAUAUAUUAAAAUACAGUCUAUUAUACCAAAUAAAGUCUUACCUAUAAAGAAAGUCUAAAUUGACAGAUUUAUCAUUACCCCUCUUAAAAUAUGAAAGACAUACUUUUACAAUAAAUAAGACAUUUAUUUCAUUUAUUCUUAAUAAAUCAUCAAGUCACAUGAGUCAUAGAAGGAAAAGCAAAGCAAACUAAUAUGAUUCACACUCUUACCAUAAUAAAUUAUAAACCAAUGUAAAUAACAUUUAAUGAGGGAUAAAUUUUUUCAAUAAAUAAUAAUAUUUUUUAAUUUAUUUUUAGUUAUUUGUGAAUCUCAUUUCGAUUUGAUAUUUAAUUUGAGUGUCAUAUUGUCAUUAACCAAUAUUUAAUUGUUUUUUCUCUUAUUCUAUUAUUGUGUCAUUCCAUUUGGAGCAAUAGAGGGGCUAGUUUAGUGUAUGUGUUGGCAUUUGAUUUGUUCCUUUUCGGUAUGUUCGUACAAGGUAAAAUCGUAAAAAGGAAAAAUUAGAAAACUGUCUUGUUAGAGUAUUGUGUUAGCAUAAUAUUGAUCUCAAAAUAAGGUUAUUUUGUAUGUUAUUGUUUUAUAAAUCUCAAAACAAAUUUUGCAGGUUCAAGAAAAAGCUUUGGAAUAUGGAAAUUAAAUAUAAAUAUUUAUCAAAGAAUAGAAAAAUACUUCAAGUUAGCAUGUUCCUCAAUUGGAAUAUCGAUCUCAAAAUAAGUUUAUUUUUGUACUUCACUAUUUUAUAAAUCUCAAAAAAAAAUUGCAGGUUCAAGAAAAAGCUUCGGAAUAACAAAAUUAAAUUUAAAUAUUUAUCAAAGGAUAAAAAAAAAAUUAAAAAAAAAAUACUACGAUCAAGUUCAUUUUCUUGAAAACUUUACGAGCUCUAAAAUAAAUAAAAAAUACAACUAAUUAUUCAGAAAUUUAUGAACUUGGAAAUUUUUAAUUUUCAUUAAGAAUAAUUAUUUUUUAUGAUAUGUUAUUUGCAAUUAAUUAAUCUAGUAAAAAAUUACAAUCAAAUAACGAGACUAUUGAUAAAUUAAAAGGUAUUCGUUUAUUUUAUUUCUGUAAAUUAUAGGAAAAAUGAAUUUGAAAAUGCAUUGUCUUCUGCUAAAGAAAUUGCUUUUGAAAUAGAUACAGAGUAUAAGUUAUGUGAAAAACAUGGUAGAUCUGUUGAUAAUAUAAGUUAUGUGAAAAACAUGGUAGAUGUGUUGAUAAUGAAAUUCUAAAAUCUCCUAAAAAAUCAUUUAGAUUUUAUGACUUUCUAUACAUUCAAAGAAAACAAUUAACUCCAAAGUUGAUUUAAGAAUUCAAAAUAUAAGAAAAUAUGAAAAAUAUUUGAAGAAUAAUUUCGUGAUAUUGAUGGAUUAUAUUUAUUUUCAAAAUUUAAUAUCUUAAAAGAAAUGACAGAAUUGAAAAAUAAUAACUAAUUGACCUUCUAAAUCAUAUAAAAUAAAUAAAUUAUUUUCCAAAUAUAUAUAUAAGAGAGGGAUUACAGGUAAUAAAAUAAUAUAAAUAUUCUAGUACUACCAAUAUAAUCAAGAAAUUAAGGUGAAUGAGAAUUUAUAUUUUUUUUCUCCAAUCCAUAAAGAAAUGUUUUAAAAAAAAUCAUUAUAAAAGAUCGAUCUAUUAUAAAGUGGAUUUUAAGCUUAACUCAAUCCCAUAAAACUGGUUUAAUCCCAUAAAACUGGUUUAUAGGGUUGAGGAUUGCACCCACUUAUAUACGAUGAAAGACUCUAAUCUCUAGUCGAUGUAGAUUCCAACAUCAACCUCAAAUAAUAUUUCUUGUAAUUAAGAUCAAAACAGUAAACGAUUACAAUAUCGAUUGAUUUCGUUGAAAUGAUUUUUUUAAAACUAAAAGUUACUUAAUAUUAUCAACGAAACCCGAGGCUCACCUCUCCUUUGACCAUGUUAAUUCACAAUCUCUUUCACUAUGCCAUUAAAUGAGUUUGGAACAAGUUUUGUCUUUCUCACCGUCGUCAUGCUUCCCAAGGACCCAUUCACUUAACUCUUCGUGCGUUCCAAUGCAAACAAGUCAGGGUUUUGAUUUGCUUCCUACGAAUCCAAAAUUAGUAACUACAGAAUGUUGUUUGUUGUUGACUCUACAAAUUUAGGGUGGGAAAGAAAAGUUUAUAUCAUACUACUCCACUUCAUAUGCUACUUCAUUUGAUUUUUUUAUUGGUUGUUCUUUGAUGAAGUUUUUCAUUGCUGUUGAUGUUCUUGGUGGUUCUUUGGUCAAGGUGUCUAUUGCUACACGGUGUGUGGGUGAAUUUGUUGGUGACUAGAUUUUUUUGUUAUCAUGGGCUGGUGCAUAGUUGUACCUUUUUUUUUUCAUUGAAAAUUUAAUUUGUAUGGGUGAAAUCUAAACUAUAAAGAUGAUGAAAUUUGCUAAUUCUAGAAUACGUUGUGAUUUUGCAACUAUUUUAUUUUACUUCUACUAUGUGUGAAUUUAGUAAGGUUGAAACCAUCUUGAAAUCUUUUUUAUAUUUAUUUAAACUAUGAUUUGACUCUCGCUAUUUGUUUAUAUUUUAAUAUUAAUUAGGACUUAAUCCUCUUUAAGUUAGAGUAUGUUAAGGUUGCGACCUCUCUAGGUUAGAGUAAGCAAGGUCUUGAUCCUCUCUCUAAUUUAGAGUUAAAGUUUUCCAAUUUCCAAUAAACAACUCUUUUACGUUGUUAAGCCCACUCUAUUAACGAGAGUCCAAUCUACAUUAUUAGUUUCCACUUAGAGAGGACUUAUGAUUGUUAUAGGUUGACGUAAAUAAAAAAGUCAUUUUCAAUCCGUUCACGGUGUAUGGAACACUAUAUGUCCACAUUAAUUAUAAUGUAACGACUUCUUUUUCAAUUUUAGUCCAUCUUUGACUCAUGCUAUAGACAUUUUUCUUGUAAUUUGAUAACUUUGGAUAUUAGAAUGAGAAAUUUUUCUCGGUCAUCAUCCACUGAAUUUGAGUGUUGGAGUGACUAAUAACUCAAUUAAGGGAAACUUCAAAAUAUUAAUUCAUAAAUCACAUUUAUUAUAGAUAUAAAUGUAAAUUUGAGAAUAGGGAAUUAUGAUUGUAUUAAAAAAUAAAUAUUAUUUGUGUGUUUUUAUAACAUGAUUGAUAAAACUUACGUAACCAUUUAAAAUUAAAGCGAAAUAGGAUUAAUUGAGAAAUGUAUCGAUUAGCACAUGUAUGUUCUUUUCAACGGCUUUGGUGACCUAAUUAGAAAACGUCAAACUAUACUGGCAACCUAACUGGAAAACUUCAAACUAUACAGCCAUUCCAUUACUUGUGGAGUAAGGCAAAAAUGCCUUUGUGUUUACUUUUCUAGUAUACGUGCAAGUGUACAGGUCCACUAAUUUCGCAUAUGGUUCUUUCAUUGGCUUUUUAUUGAGUAUAGAUAUGAAAUAUAUUUGGUCCACGUCAAAAAGAAAAAGAAUUGAAAGCGAAACCAAAAAGCGAAAAAAAAAGUAGAAUUAGAAAAUUAAAUAAAUGUUGAAGUUAUUUGAUAAAAUAUAAAUAAUUAUGUUUUCUAUUUCAUUUCUCCUAUUGCAUCAUAUCACGUGACCUAUUUAUAUUCAUAUUGAUUUACUAGGAUUAAUAGUGUUGGAAAGGAAAUAUCAAUUUUGUUUCUUCUACAACUUAACAAUUAACUUAAAUGCUUGUUUGGUAUUGUUAUAAAUCUGAGACUUAGACUGAAAAGUGAAUUGUGAACUUAUGUUUAUUAUUAGAUUAAAAAGUGAGUUGUGAACUUAGGUUUAUUAUUAUAAAUUAUUUAUACUUAUUUUAUUUGUGUAGUAAGUUACGUGUGUUUUUAUUAGUUGAAUGGUGUUGGUUAUUAAUUAUGAUUUCUAUUAUUAAUACUGAUUUCACCGUUAUACCGUUAUUGUUUCAUUAAUGGUUAGUUUACUUAUUUCCUUCCAUUAGUUUCCUACAAUUGGUAUCAAGAGCUAGUCUGUUAUCAUGAACUCUACCCAAUUACUAGUCCUAUGGAAAAAAUUACAAUCAGUGGUGUGUGCAAAUGAGAGUUUUUUUUAUUAUUUAUUAUCAUGAGUUAUGGGAUGUCGUUGAGGGUGGAGUGGUUGCAUUAGCUGUUAAUGCAAUUGAGGCGCAACGAGUAGCGCAUCAUGAUGACAAUAAGGCUUUGUAUCUCAUCCAUAGGGAUGAAUGACAAGACGUUUGAGAAAAUAUAAGGAGCAACAACUGCAAGUGAUGCUUGAAUCAUUUUGUCAACCAAUUAUAAAGGGUGAUGACAAGAUCAAUAGGGUGCGUCUUCAAACCCUAAGACGCCAAUAUGAACUGUUGCAGAUGGAAACCACAUAGAUUAUUGAUGUCUAUAUAAAUAAAGUUCUUGCCUUGACAAAUCAGAUGAAAAGCAAUGGUGAAACACAUUCGGAGCAGGCAAAGGUGGAGAAGAUUUUGAGGUCUUUAACUCCCAGAUUUGAACAUGUUGUUGCCGCAAUUGAAGAGGCCAAUGACAUUUAAAAAAUGACAGUAGGGUUAUUGUCUGGUUACCUACCAGCGCAUGAGCAGCGAAUGAAUGACAAUAAUAUUGAAAAACCAAUUGAACAGGCUUUACAAGCACAAGACUCAAUUGGUAGCUCUUAUCAUAAACACGGUAGUUCACGAGGCAGAGGACGGGGACAUGGUGGUAGCUAUUCCAGCAAAGGUCGUGGUGGCUAGAAUCAUGGAGGCGCUGAGCAAAAUAACAUUGGUUUCAAUCACAUUCCAAGUUCAAAUAACUCUUGACGUGGAGAACGUGAUCGCGGAGGAUGAGGAGGCAUUUAUAAUAAAUCAAAUGUGGAGUGUUAUAACUGUCAUAAACGCAACCAUUAAGCAAAUGAGUGCAGAUCAAAAAGUGAUAAUCAUGCUGCCAAUUGUGCUCAAGAAGACAGUAAUCACGUACAAGAUGAAGAGGAUCAUGCAUAACUAAUGACAGCCACAUCAAAUGAAACUCCAAACAAUCAGACUUGGUAUUUGGAUACAGGUUGCACAAAUCAUAUGUGUGGUCAAAAGGAGUUGUUUGCAUAUUUGGAUGACUCAUUUUGCACAAAAGUGAAAUUCGGUGAUGGCAGGGUCGUUCCGGUGACUGGAAAAGGGCGAAUUCUUAUCACAUUGAAGAAUGGUGAUCACAGGUACAUAUAUGAUGUUGUCUAUGUACCUGAUAUGAAAAGUAAUUUGUUGAGUAUGUGACAACUGGCUGAGAAGGGUUAUGUGAUGUACAUAGUUGAAAAUAAAUUCUCAAUUUUUGAUAAAAAAUGUAGUUUGAUUCUUAAAACCUUUUUAUCAAAAAACCGUAUGUUUCCAGUAGAUAUUCAUAUGGGUGACUUCAAGUGCUUGAAUGCAAUAGUGAAUAAUGAAUCGUGGUUAUGGCAUUUACGCUUUGGGCACUUAAAUUUUCAGAGUUUGGAAAAUCUCUCCAAACGAAAUUUAGUGAAUAGUUUACCCCAUAUUUAUCACCCUGAUCAAUUGUGUGAGACUUGCAUUUUUGGAAAGAAUCACAGGAUACCAUUUGUUAAGGAGCCUUGGCGUGCAAAAUUUCCUUUGGAGCUUGUUCAUAUAGAUGUUUGUGGCUCAAUGAACAUAUCAUCAGUUGGAGGUAAUAAGUAUUUUUUAACCUUUAUUGAUGAUUUUUCAAGGAAAACCUGGAGUUAUCUAUUGAAAAGCAAGGAUGAGGUAUUCCACUGCUUUAAAAUAUCAUAUUUAAAGCAUUUGUUGAAAGACAGAGUGGCAGACAAAUUAAGAUGAUGCGUAGUGAUGGAGGGGGUGAGUACAAGUCUAAUGAGUUCAAGAGGCACUGUGAAGAACUUGGAUUGCAACAUAACAUAACAUGUCUCUACACACCUUAACACAAUGGAGUUGUCGAGAGAAAGAAUAGAACAAUCAUGGACAUGGCGUGGAGCAUGCAUAAAGCGAAAGGUAUGCCAAAUUAUUUUUGGGCUGAGGUCGUAACAUGUGCGGUAUAUUUGAUAAAUAGAUCACCCACUCGGAGUGUUCCUAACACAACUCCGAUUGAGGCAUGGAGCGGAUUCAAACCCAAUGUGCAACACUUGAAGGUAUUUGGGUCUAUUACUUAUGCUCAUGUCCCCAAAGCAGCAAGAUCGAAGUUGGAUGAUAAGGCAGAGAAGACCAUUUUCAUUGGAUAUAAGCAUGGGGGAUACAAAUUGUACAAUCCAAUGACAAAGAAGGUGAUUGUUAGUUGUGAUGUUACAUUUGUCGAAGAUGAGGAAUGGCAAUGGAAUGCAACAGUUGAAAUUGAUUAAAAAAAAACGAUAUAUUUACGUUUUGAACGAUGAUGUGGAAGAUGGAGUCACUCUUGAAGCACCUGCAGUUCAACCAGAAGCUGCAAUUCAACCUGAAGUUGCAAAUCCAAUUGCAACUAUGAUGGAGCGACCAAGAAGGCAGCAACGACAACCUGUACACCUUCAAGAUUGGCGAAGUAAAUCUUGAUGAUGAAGUUGAUGACAAUGGAGAUUUGGUUCACUUUGUUUUUCUUGCAGAUUCAGAACCCAUGAGACUUGCAGAUGUCAUUCAACACCCCAAAUGGCAGAAGGCUAUGAAUGAAGAAUUGAUGGCGAUUGAGAAAAACAAUAUCAUGACUCAAAUUUGUUUUAAUCCAGAUAUUCCAAUUAAGAUUUAUGUUGACAAUGUCUCUGCAAUUAAUCUUGCAGAGAAUCCAGUUUUUCAUCAAAUAAGUAGUCACAUUGAUAUUCGAUAUCACUUCCUGCGAGACCAAGUUAAGAAGAACAUGAUCAAAUUGGAAUACUACAGAUCAGAAGAUCAGAUUGCAAAUAUUUUCACUAAGCCAUUGAAGAUCAAUGCUUUCAUCAAGUUAAGAAAUCUGUUGGGUAGGAAGGUUGCUCCAAAUCAGAAUUAAGGGAGGAUGUUGGUUAUUAAUUCUGAUUUUAUUAUUAUUAAUUCUGAUUUUAUUAUGCUUAAACUAUUUUACCGUUAUUAUUGCAUUAAUGGUCAGUUAGUAUUCCUAUUUUAUAACUUCCAGUAUUUGUAAUUUUAUUAUAUAUAUUAUAUAUAUUAUUGAGUAAAUCAAAAUAUAUGAUACCAGCUCAACAGUUUUGCAAUCUUGUGCAAUUACCUUCAAUCAGUUUCUACAACAUUUUGCCUUCUCUUAUUUCCUUCAAUUAGUUCCUACAAAUGAGAAUAUAAUUAAUAUAAUUAUUUAAUAAGAAACUUAUAUACCACCUCAAGUUAUUUUGGAGUCAAAAUAUUAUAGGAAUGGUUAUCAAUGAAUGAUUUACUAAAAGUGGUAAAUUUUCUUGAGGUUUUAUGAAUGUGAAACCUAAAUAUGUAAAUUUUGAUAGUCAAAAGACUAAUCCCUUUAAGAAUUAAUAUAUUUCAAUAAAAGUGAUUGGAUAUGGUUUUAGUUUGGAGUCAACAACUUAAAGAGACUUGUGUCAAUGUGUAAUCUAUUCUAAUCCACAUAGGUUGAACUCCUAUUAAGGAUACAUAAAUUUUUAAUCUGAUCAACAAGCUAAAGAGAUUGUAUUAAAAAUAUUUCAGUAGUCUAACAGUGGUUGCGAAUUCACGUGAUAUGUGUAGCUCUCAAAGUAAAUAACUUGUUUUCCAAGCUAUCCAAAGAGAUCAAUAUACUUGUCUCCCAAGAGAUUUAUUACUACCCAUGUCAUUUAGACACAAAUAUUUAUGAUAUUGGUAAAAUUAAAAAAAAAUAACUUUACCUACAAAUAGUUAAAAUAUUUGAAAUAAGUGAAGUAAAUGAAUAAUAUAAAUUUAUUCAGAGAUUAUUUAUUAUGAUAAACCUAAUUUAUUUUAAAAGAAUAUAUGACUAAUACAUUUUUUACUUACUCAAAUAUAGUUUAAUUUAUUUUAAAAAAAAUCCAAAAGCUAAAACUUUAGAACAUAAUAUUUUAAAUGUUUUACUUUACACGUGUAAUCCUUAACUAUUUAAAUGUUAUACAAUUAUUAUAGAUAUAAUAACUAUUUUAAAGAAAAUAUUUUAUUUAUUUUAUACAUUUUUCUUACAACAACAAAAUAAAAACCAUAGAUAAAUCCCACUCUUUUAGUGUUUUUUUUUUCUUUCUCUUUUCUCAAUUUGCCAAUUUGCCGUCAUUGUUGAAGAUCUCACCCACUAAUCAAAGUCAUAUUUGAUGUGAAUGUUCUCUUCAAUUCAAAGUUUAUCUUAAUAUUAUGCUAAACUUAGACUUAGUCUAAACCUUACUGACUUGAUUUCAACUUUUCUUUAUAUUUCUUCUUUUUAUACAUAACUUUUCAAACUUUUAAUCUUACACAAAAAGCAUGUCAUUCUUCUCUGACAACAUUUUAUUUCAAUUUUUCUUGAUGGUGUGCUUCAUUUGAAAUUUCAUUUUACUUUAUAUUUCAAUUUUGCUCAUAAGUUAUGAUUGGAGUUUAUUCUAAUUUUUUCCAGUGUCUUAAUAUUUUUCCAUAGUGUGUUUGAUUUUUUAAUUUUCUAUGCAAAAAUUAGUGUUAAUAAUUGUGUCUAACUUUUCUUGUACUCUGUCCUUUAGUUUGAAUGCUUCAUCCUCUGUUCUGCUUCUAAUUUUUCUUAUAUUUUAUCCUGUGUUUUGAAUGCUUAAACUUUUACACUUGUUUUAACCUGUUUUGCUAUUAAUUGUUGUUUACUUGUUGUGAUAUAAGGUUUGCGUGAUUAGUUAGUUGAUGGCAUACAAGUAAUGAAGAACUUUUAAGUAACACAGUUAGUUAAUACUCAAUUAUUAAAAUAUUGCAAGACAUUUCUUAAAAGUGUUUUAUGUUUUAUGUAAUUGUAUUUACCUAUAAUGAAGUUGAUAGCGAAAGAAAUAUUUAAUACUUUUUUUUUCUUUUUUUUUUCUUUUGGAAGGAAUCGAGGGAUACAAACUAUAUCUUCAUAUAUGGAAAAUUAAUUUAGUUAUAUCAGUUGCUAAGUGAAGAUCAAGAUCAUUUGUUUAUUAGUGUGUACGUAUUGAUGUGUUUUGGGAUUAUUAAAAUUUGACGUGUUUGAUAAAGAGUGAUUUAUUCAUAAGUAAACUAUGUUUUGGGAUUAUUAAAUUACGUAUUGAUACUUUUAUUUUCGUGAGGGGAAUGCAUGUGCUGAUAAGUUGACUAAUUUAGGGUUCAUUCAUAGAUAAUCAUUUUAUUGGUAUAAUAGACUUCUAUCUAGUAUGUUCUUAGAAUUCUUUAUGAAUAGGUAUAGUCUACCUAUGUAUCGUUUUUGUUAACAUGUGAGUUUUGGUCUAAUCCUCCCAUAUUUUGGUAUUUUUUUUCUUUUUUUUAAUAAUAUGUUUUUCAUGUGAUGGCAGAUGAUUGUUGUUACUUGAGGUGUCAGCCUAGCUGAGAUGUCAAGUUGCAUAAUGAUGUCUAACAUGGAAAAUUUUAUAAAAAAUAAAAAAACAAAAAAAAACUAUGGUUUUUGUUAUUGAGAAAUUGUUUUUAAGAAAGUGUUGAUUACAAAUUACUAUUUUUUUUAAAAAAAAAUUGUUUUGAACAUCGUAACAUCUUUUUAAUGAAAAAUAUUUAUUGCAUAUAGGGGCUUUUAACAAGUUUGGAAUUGAGUGGAAAUUGGUGUUGGUUUAUGUUGCAAGUUGAUGGUUGAAUCAUAUUCAUAGAUAGAGUUGGUACUUUUUAAUAAUGUAAUUUAGUAUAUUAUUGAUAUUUUAAAAUGAUAAAGAGUGUGUGUAUAAUCUCAAUAAUAUAUGAUUUAAAUGUAUUAAAAAUUGAACUUUAAACAUAAAUCAACUUUAAAAAAUCGACUCAUAAGUUAAGGUUUGCACUUACUUAUAUAUUAUGAAAUGUUUUUAUCUUUGGUCGAUGUAGGAUUUUCAACAUUUCCCUUCACGUCAAGAUCUAUCAAUUCGUGUGUGAAACUAUAUAUUUAUAGGUGGUCAGAUAGCAACCGACCUUAUAAGUCUAACAAACUCUCAUUAGGAUAAACUGUAAAUGACUCUAAUACCAUAUUAAGAAGUGAAUUUUAAGCUUAAUUCAAUUUUAUAAAAUCAAUUCAUAAGGUAAUAUUUACACUCACUUAUAUAAUAUGAAAUGUUUUUAUUUCUAGUCGAUCUGAAAUCUCGAACAAAAUGUGAAAAUAUUCAAUUUUACAAGUAUGAUUAUUAUAAUUAUUAAAUAGGAGAGAUAUGAUUAUUAAGAUCUCAUUACUUGUAUUAUAAAAAAAACCCACGAACUAAAUUUUGUAUUGAUAAAAACUUGAGGAUUGUGGUUGAAAAGGCAGAACAAUUGUAAGAAUUAUCUUUUCAAGCAUAAUACAAAGUAUUUCUUUGUAAUUGAUAAAAAUUUAAACUGACACAUCAAAUAUUUAAAUUAUAUUAUUGAAAAUGGGUUCAUAGAUGAUUUAAAGAAGUAUAUGGUACAAGUUGAAAAUUUAAGAGGUUUUAAAGCAAUAAUAAUCAUAAAAUUUGGAGGAAUGACGUCCAUUCAAAAGUGAUAGGAUGAAAAAAGAAAGACAUGUAUGUUGUUUUAAUAGACUUCCACCAACUAAAUAUUUAAAUAUCUCAUCUCAAAAUUCUAUAACAGAGAAUAAGAUUAACAAUUUAGAAAAGAUUUUUAAAAAUCUUUUAUCUUUUCUUUAGAAAACAUUUUUAAAAAUCUUUUAUCUUUUCUUUAGAAAACAUUUUUAAAAAUCUUUUAUCUUUUCUUUAAACAUGAUGAGUGGUAAUUGUUCUUGCCAACAAUGUGGAAUCACAUCUUCAAGGUAGUCUCCGAACAAUCUUUCGGUAUUGUAGUCCUUGAGUGCUUGAAGAUCACCAAGUGAUGAGGGGAGCUCCACUCGUUGACAAGACUUCGACAAUCAAAUCAGUGAGAACAUUAAAUAUUUCAAUGUAGUAUGUAUUGCAUAGAAUAAUACUUGUCUUUGUUUGGGGACUCAUGACCCUUAUAUAGGACUCGUAGAUCCUUUUUUAGGAGUUUGUAAUCAGACACUUCCUUUGAACUUUUAGUUACACGAUUCGAUUUGUUGGACUCGAUCCGACUGACCCGAAAACGUCUAUUGAGUCCGAUCCAUUGGACCGAAAACACCCGAUCCACAUUAUCGGGUUCUACCCCGAUCUUGACUGAACGAUACAGUAAUAUACAAAUUGUAAAUAAAAAAUAAAAAAUAUAGUAAUUACAUUUAAUCAUCUAUAAAAAAAUUUAAUACUAAUAUGAUAUUUUAAAAAGAUAUUUUUUUCGGAAACACUUGAUGAUGAUGGAAGGAUUGAAAUUAUUCUAAUAGUAAUGUUUAAACACAGUAAAAAAAAGUCAAGUGAUAUGAUAAUGAUUGAAAAUUUACUUUUAAAUACAAUUAUCAUUUUUUACUAUAAGAUCAAUUUUUUUAAUGUGAUUACAUAUAUUUUAUAAAUGAUGUGGAUUUUUAUGGCCUGUACACAUCAUUAAUGAGUGAGAUAAUAUGUUUAAUCAUUUGCCAUUUAAUUUUUAGUACUUUCAAUGAACAAAUGAGAUUCAUAUGUAAGAAAUUUAGCAUCGAUUAUGACUCAUAGGACACAAAAUGUAUUUCAUUGAGUUGAGUGUGGUAUUUCAAUACCUAAUUAAUAUUUUUUUUGUCAUUAGUAAUUUGGUAUUGAUUUAAAAUCGAAAUUGUUGUUGACUAUUAAGAUUUAUUUGCUUUUGUAACUAUUAUGUUUUCCUCUUAUAAAUUUUGUUUAUAUUUUAGAUUAUAAAGUUGUUGUAAAACAUUGCAAAAACUUUUCUUAGUGGUUUUUAUCUAGUACAAUCAUUUAUAUUUUAGUGGACUUUUAUUGAAUUGAAUACACCCUACUCCAAUAGCCUAUGACGAGUCACACAAAUUUCAUUUGACAACAAAGAAUCUAUAGGGACAAAAAGUGGAACUUAUAGAGAAUCUUUAAAUUCAAAUUGAUAUUUUGAAUAAGUGAACAAAAAGUUAAACCCAUUUAUUAUAGCCAUUGUUUCCAAAAAUAUUUAAUAGUGAAUAUUUGAGCAAAUAAUGUAGAAUGUAUUAUAGCUAAAGACAAACAUCAUAUUAUUGUUUGGUACACGGAAAAUGUUAUAUUAUCACAAUUAUCGGUAUAUAUUAAUAAAUUUAUUCUCAAAAUUUUAACUAAUAAAUUUAUUCCACCAUUUUAUACAUGGACUAUAAUGAUAGAUUGUUAAAUGCCCUUAAAAUUUUACAUCACACUUUAUAUAGUAAAAAUAUUAUCAUGAUAUCUAUUACAAUGAAAGAAUGACAUAAACAAAAAUAUUUUGGUAUUAAAAUAUUAACGAAAAAUAAUAAAUUAUAUGGUAUUAUUAGUAAAGUAAGGAACUAAAAAUUAUUGAAGUUUUUGUGGAAUAAACUCAUACGGAAUAAUAUGUCAAAAAAAUUAAUUGAACUUAACAAUUGUUUUUUAUUAGCUAUAAGAAUGAAAUUAAUAAAGAUAUAUAUUUUAGAGAUAUAUUAACCUUAUACAAAAUCAUCAUUAUCAAACUUUCAUCUUGCAUUAAGUCUAUAAUGAUAUUAUACUCAAAACAGAUUAAUCAUACUAAAAACCACAACAUAAUCUAUUAAUCCAAACUUCUUAAAAAUGAUGUUCUUCUCAUAUUGAAUAUAUAGUUUUUAUUGAAGUUAAUAGUAACUCAUCAUGAUUAAAAAACAUGUUGUUUAGAGUUAAUUUUGUUUGAUAGACAAUUAUAUCAUCUAACUAUAUUACUUUAUUGUGUAAUUCCACUAUAUUGAUAUAAGUCUCAAUUUGAUGUACGGGAAAAGAUAGAAAAGAAAGAAAUGGGAGGAGUACAUUUGUUUAGUUAAUUAAAAAAGCUAAAUAAAUAUGUUUAAAAAAUUGUGAAACUGUGAAGUAUAUGAUAAGAAAAUCUGAACUUGUAAAUAUUUAUAACUAAAGUCUGCAAAAAGUAUAAAUAUUUUAAUUAUUUAUUUGUUAAAAGAGUGAAUAUGGAUAUCAUGCUAUUUAGUUAGCGAAUGUUCACUGUCCAUUAUUAAUUAUUUUUAUUUGAAUAUAUUUUUUAAUUAAGCAAUUGAGUAAAAUUAUUAACGAGAAAACAUUAAAAAUUGAUGAAUUAUUUAUAACUUAAUUUUAUAAAUGUAUAGUUUUUAUUUAGACUUGUGGAGCUAAAAUUAUCUUCAAAAGAUUAAUUUUAUUUAAAGUUAUAUUGUGAAGAAUUUUUUUAGAAUGAUUAAUUUUUUUCUAAUAAUAGCUUAUGAAACAUUUUUAUUAUAAUUAUACAUUAAUAUCAAUAUUUUAUCUUAUUUUAUUUUAUGUUUUAAAGAAUAAUUUUUAAAUAAUAUUAUUUUCUUAAAAGAAGGAUCCACGUGUAUCUAUUGAAAUAGGCAAGUAUUUUAAAUAACAUUAUAUUUUUUUAGUAGAAAUACUUCUUCAUAAGAUUUAUUUAUAAAUAACAAGUCACUUUAGAUAUGGUUAUCUCCUACUUCCAUAUCAAUGUAGACUCUUAUAUGUGUGACGUCAUUUAUUAUGAACUUGAAAUGUACUAUCUUAAGUGUAUCCUAUAGAAAACACCAUCACAUUCAAGUCAAAUAAUAUAAAAAUUAAGUAAUAAAUGAAUAAUACAUAUUUUGAGAUCUUCACCAUUAACUUUUAUUUAUAUCGAGUAUCGGUGGUUAAAUAUGACUUUAGUAUUGAGUUAAGAUUUUAAUAAUAAAAAUAUAGUGUAAGGGAAAAUAAUGUUAAUAUUUUAAUACUUUUGCGUGUUGAAAGAAAGAAAACAAAUCUAAAAAUAACUAUAGUUUAAACUUCGUUAAUUUUAAUAAAAAGCAUCUUCAAAACCGUAUUUAGUAGUAUAUAUAAUUGUAUUAUUUCCAGUUAUUUAUUUUAUUUUGUAGAUGCUUUCUAAAUUUAAAGGAAGAACCCAGACUUUAACCAAAACAUAUUUCUAUCCAAAAUAAAUGUAUGGUUAUGGGAAAAAAUAGCCUACAAUUGAUCAUACAAUCCAUUCAUUAAAUAAUGGAGUACAAUACAAUGUGCUAUAAUGAACCCAACAACGUCUUGUUCUAGGUUUUGUAUAUUCAGUCAUUGAUUUCUAAAUUUUUAUAUGAAUGUUUACAAUAAUAUUUCAAGGUCAAGUUAGUACUUCCUCCGAAUAAAGAAUAUAAAGUAAAAAAAGUUAAGAAUUCAUUAAUUAAUACUUAGUUUGAAGAAAAAACAUAUAAUAAAAAGUUAUAUAUUUAUUAUUUUCAAUUCACCUAUUUAUAACGGUAUUCUUCUAGUUAAGAAGAAUGUCUUCCAACUAAAGAUUUAGUUUAGUCAAAAAUAGUUAUUUCCAACUAAAUUGUAGUUCUGUCUCAUACCAUCAUCUUCCUCUUUUAUUUAAUAAUUAUUUCUCUAUUAUAGUAUUUGUCUCAUUCUUAGAUACAUUCUUAGAUUAAUUACAAUCUCGCAUAUUCAGUUAAUGUUUGUCACUUUCAAUAAAAAAAAUAAAAAAAAAUUUCAUUAUUUUAAUAAAUAGAUCAAUAUCAUAACCGUUUUCAUCUAUUAUUGGAAUCGACUUAUGAUCUCACAGUUCUCAAAUUCCAACAUAAUCCAAUGAGACUAAUAAGAUCAUGAAGUAAUUAAUUAUAGGAUGUAUCUUAAAUUUUGACUGAAAUCCAUACCAUUGAGGUUGAUGCAAAAGUUCACAUAUACUAUUAUACCUCAUCUAUAGAAAUGAUUAAUUGAGAUCCAAAUAGACUUAGAUGCGCUUAAUCAUAAUUUAUAUAUUGUUUACUUUACUCUACUUAUUAAUUAUAUUAUUACACCCUUAAUUUCACUUUAGAGAUACUUGCAUCAUUCAGUGGUGAGAUGUUGGGAUAUCGAGUGUGAUAUCGACACCUCAUAUAUUCCGGUACAAUGCAUUUGAGGAAAAUAAAAACCGAUCAUAUGUAUAAUUUUUUGUUUUCUUCCAUGCUUGGUUGUCACUUAGGUCAAUUCAGCACGAACCAACAUACUCCAUUUCAUCUUCUCAUAAAUCGAAGACAAUAAUUCCAGGAAAUGAAAAUGGGGUAUGUUAAUAAAGAAAAAAAAUAAGAGAAAAUUGCACAUAAAUAAAAUUCAAUUGAGUUCUUAAAUUACAAUGAUAUUGAAAAGAGUAGAAAUAUAUAGUUAAUUUGGUGAAUAAACAAAGUAGGUUGGAAAAAUGCGAUGAAAGCAUGAUAAGAUAGUUGUGGUUGUCUGUGGAAAUGCGAAACCCCUCUUUCUUGUUUUGUUUUGCACAUAUUUUACAAGCAAAUCCGACAAACAGAAAGAAUUGCAUAAGUCCAAACCUACUGGUAUUAUUUAGACGUUAAUAAUUGCCAGCUUUUGCCAGCUCCUACUUCAUCAUUAAAAUAUAAUUUAAAAAAAUAGACACAGAAACAGUAGUGAAGACUUUGCUCCUCAGUCCCAAAAAAUGACAACGGGAUACACUGGAUUUCCACACUUUCUCACAUGCUCGUCUUUUUCAUUUUCUGCCACGUGUAUUGUAAUGUAGCAAGGUCCCUCUGGUUCCAGCUGCGCAAACCUCACUCUCUUCCUUCAUCAUCAUCAUCAUCAUCAUCUUCUACCACUACAGCCACAAUAAACAUGCAUACCGUAUUUUUUCUUUUCAAAUAUUAUACGUAUACUUUUUGAUAUUUUAUUUCCGUUUGAGUUGAGUAGUUGUUCUCCAUUUGCAACGGUUACCUAAUAUUAUUCUCUGUUUCCAUCUACCCCAUUAUCAACUACGUAUUGCAUAUAAAACAUUAGCGAUAAUGAAAGAAAGGGUCAUGUAUCUGCUUUCUCAAUCAUUAAUGCAAAAUUACCGAAUUUAAUGAUGUUACCAUUACGAAUGGAGAAAGGGUCAAACCAAAAAUAAAAAGUGCACCUUUUCAACUGGCGGACAAAGGACGAGACACGAGUGGCAUCAACGCGGGUAAAGCACCCCGCGUUUUACUACCAGACGGAACCCAUCAACGGGCUAUAAAGGACACACGUGUGAGUUCUAGAUCAACGGUCAAAACACAAGGGCACUCUAGUAAUAUCGUUAAACGACUUUAUGAGUUGUUGAAAAGUUAUGGUCUUUCCGAGGAAAGAAAAAGUAAAAAAUAAUAAUAAAAAUGGAUUUUUUUUCAUUAUUUUCAUAGUACACAUUUUGUUUUCAUUAAUGGAAUUUUAAAUUGUAUUAUUUUUUGUUGUUAGAACAAACAGAGGGCUAGAGUGAAAAUAAAUUUAACGGGGAGAGGAGAGAGAGUGGGAAGCAUAUGAGAAUAGGAAGAUGGGUGGAAAAAACGCCGUACAGAGGGGUGGCGGAUGACAGCGACUGCUCACUGACCCACAUAACUGACACGUGUCCUGACGCAAAAGGGUGUGGAGGUAAUAUUGAGCAAGCAUAAUGGAGAAAAAGGCAAAGAAGGAACACACAUUAACAAAAAUCAAUUGGGCAGAAGAUCCACAUAUGCCAGCUAAUAUUUUGCACAUUUACAGAAAGAGAGGAAAAAUUGUAGUAGAGGCGGAAGAAAGUUGAAAUGAAGAUAAAAUAAAAAAAAAGAAUAAAGAAUAAAAAAGUGGGAAUGGAGAGUUAAGUGUUGACCCAUUAUUAUUACUCACAUCACACCGGCCUGACCUAGUCCAGGGUAUUAGGGAAGAUGAGGAAUGGGGACAGGCAGCAUAGAAGGAGUAGAUGCACAUCACAACAUAUAAAAAUAUUAAUAUAUAUAGUAAGGUUGGGAAAAUAAUGAGAUAAAAAAAAUUGUGUGUGAGCAUAUAGAAGGAAAUUAAAUUAGGACAUUGGAGUUGGAGGAAUCUUUGAGCAUUAUUGAUGCAUUAAUCGCCACUCCUUCAACGGUUCAUAUCUUACCUCUUUUUAUAUAUUCUGUUCCCUUAUCAUCUUCCACUGCUCAACUCUCUCUCUCUCUCUCUCUAACACAAGCUUCCGUUUUUCUGUUUCUCUUCUCUCUACUCAGAACAUGGGUUCUUCUGCAGUACAAUUGUUUCUCAUCUUGGGGCUUCUGGCUACUUCUUGCAUAGCACAAGCCCCAGGUGGCGCACCCACGCAGCCUCCCACAACCACCCCACCACCACCGCCCGCAGCAGCACCAGUACCUGCACCCACUGCACCCGCAACUCCACCACCAUCUUCACCACCACCUGCACCCACACCCGCACCCACACCAACUGCUCCCACUCCUGCUCCAGCUUCUUCUCCUUCAUCUGCUGCAUCUCCCUCAGCUGAGUCACCAGGCUCUCCUACAUCUCCCCCAGCACCACCGGCCCCCUCAUCUGCACCUUCACCCUCAGUCAGCGAACCACCACCCUCACCCUCCUCCGCAUUCUCCGUUGGCAAGGCCUUCGUUGCCGGGUCUGCGCUCGCGGGAACCUUCGUAGCCAUGGUCUUGGCUUGAAGACAGACCUGACGGUUGGGAUUCGUCCACGUGGAGGCUCUUGGGCCCUUGAUCUUGUUUUACAGCGACGGACGGACGGACGGGAUCUGUUUCAUUUAUUUUAUCCUCUGGUCUUGUUGAGUAGCGGUUUUCUUUUUCUCUCUUUGGGGUUUUAUGUGUUAGUUUUGUUCGUUCGUGGUUGAUGUGUUUGUUGAUUCGAUAUCUGGGAGGGUUGGGUGUUGAUGAUGAUGAUGAUGAUGAUGAUGAUGGUGAUGGUAUUCAUGAUUAUGAUGAUUAUUUUGUGAUUCAUUGUUCUGGUGUUCACACGUGUACGUAGAUGACCUUGAUGAUUUCAUUGUACAUCUAAUAAUUGAAAGAAUAAAACAGUUUGUCAUUCUUUUUACUUACAAUCUUGUUCC